rnacentral:tRNA from 1 species
GCCACUGUGGUCUAGCGGUUAUAACGCUGGCCUUGUAAUCCUGGGGUCUCGGGUUCGAUUCCCGGCGGUGCCC